rnacentral:rRNA from 1 species
UUGAAAGGGAAACGAUUGAAGUCAGUCGUACCAGCGGGAAAUCAACCUUUCGAGUGGGGUUUUGGAGUUUUGAAGAGUGUCAAAACCUUUGAGAUUUCAAAAUUUCGCUCUUUUGGUGUACUUUCUCGUGGGUAGGUUAACAUCGAUUUUGAUCAUCAUAAAAAGAUUGGAGGAAUGUAGCUUCGAUCUUGUAUUGAAGUGUUAUAGCCUUUGGUAAAUGUGAUGAUUAGGAUCGAGGAUUGCAACGAAUACCCUUUUGGGCUAUCCGCCUGAUCUCUGAUACGUGGCCUUGGUAUCGAAAGCUUGCUUAUGGUAUUAAGGUAUUACGGUCAAAAGGUUAGAACGGAUUACAUUCGUUAAGGAUGUUGACGUA